rnacentral:piRNA from 1 species
UGGAACAAGAUAACCUGACAAAAGC